rnacentral:rRNA from 1 species
AACGCUAGCUACAGGCUUAACACAUGCAAGUCGAGGGGCAUCGGGGUUGUAGCAAUACGACUGCCGGCGACCGGCGCACGGGUGAGUAACACGUAUCCAACCUUCCGGUUACUCGGGAAUAGCCUUUCGAAAGAAAGAUUAAUGCCCGAUGGCAUAGGGUUUCCGCAUGGAGACCCUAUUAAAGAUUCAUCGGUAACCGAUGGGGAUGCGUUCCAUUAGGCAGUUGGCGGGGUAACGGCCCACCAAACCGACGAUGGAUAGGGGUUCUGAGAGGAAGGUCCCCCACAUUGGAACUGAGACACGGUCCAAACUCCUACGGGAGGCAGCAGUGAGGAAUAUUGGUCAAUGGGCGAGAGCCUGAACCAGCCAAGUAGCGUGAAGGAUGACUGCCCUAUGGGUUGUAAACUUCUUUUAUACGGGAAUAACAAGCGGCACGUGUGCCGCUCUGCAUGUACCGUAUGAAUAAGCAUCGGCUAACUCCGUGCCAGCAGCCGCGGUAAUACGGAGGAUGCGAGCGUUAUCCGGAUUUAUUGGGUUUAAAGGGAGCGCAGACGGGUCUUUAAGUCAGUUGUGAAAGUUUGCGGCUCAACCGUAAAAUUGCAGUUGAUACUGGAGACCUUGAGUGCGGUAUAGGCAGGCGGAAUUCGUGGUGUAGCGGUGAAAUGCUUAGAUAUCACGAAGAACUCCGAUUG